rnacentral:rRNA from 1 species
UACAGAGGGUGCGAGCGUUAAUCGGAUUUACUGGGCGUAAAGGGUGCGUAGGUGGUUGCGUAAGUGAGAUGUGAAAUCCCCCGGGCUUAACCUGGGAACUGCGUCUUAUACUGCGUAGCUGGAGUACAUGAGAGGGUAGUGGAAUUUCCGGUGUAGCGGUGAAAUGCGUAGAUAUCGGAAGGAACACCAGUGGCGAAGGCGGCUACCUGGCAUGAUACUGACACUGAGGCACGAGAGCGUGGGGAGCAAACAGG